GGGAAUUUCCAGUGUAUUUGAGGUGUAGUGCCAGGCCAAAGGGCAGGCAAGCAGAUGAGGCCCAGGUGAGACAAAUGAAGCUCCAACCCAAAGGAAUGGACAGGAGACCAGCAGCCGCAGGUGGAGAAACCCCAGACACUCCCCUGGACCUUGACACCCCACAUUACAUCAAGUCUAGAAAAGGAGCUGUUGGACAGAAAGACAUAAACUGAGUGGACACCAGGAGAGAGAGAGUCCUCCGUCACAGAUGGUGUAGUCAGUGAGGAUGGUCACCUGCAGAUUCAGGGUCAUUGCAUCUCCAACCCACAUCCACUGCCACUGUGCUUAAGGGAAAUUGGGACAAUGUUAAAGACUUUGUUCUGCACAGUCAUUUAGGCAGUAAUGCCUGGACUGGAAACAAGCCAUCCUUAAAAUAUUACAACAUACCAAACUUCUGUGUUUGAAUGUAAAACAAAUUUGUUGUUUAAACUAGAGACUGCACUUGUGACUGAACAAUAAAGACAUUUUAUUUUGAUUAUAUAAGUACUGUAACUUGCAAAACAAAGUUGUGGAAAGCUUAAACUUAGCUUUAAGAAUAAUUAAAUCUGAGACUUUGUUUCAUUGUAAGAUUAUAACAAUGAUGGUAAUAUAAUUGUUGUUGUUCAGUAGAACAGUGUCCAGUAUGUUGGCCGAUGUACUUUUUUACAUUUGAAAAUAAAAGUUGGGCUGAU